rnacentral:lncRNA from 1 species
AGCCACAAGCACCAGUCAGUUCUAAAGAGCCAACUGAAACACAAAGUUAUAAUUGCUAGCUUGUGUGAAGACAUGCUUUUCUCCUUCCAUUCUUGUUUACAGUUACCUGAACCAAUGUCACUUUCAGAUGCGCAGGACAAUGCUGACUAUAGAUUAUUUCAGAAAAUACUCAAAUUGUGUCGUUUGCCAUUUCCCUUUUGCACUACAUAAAGGAGGCUGAGGCAGAAGAAUCACAAGCCCUGCCUGGAGAAGUUAGGACCUACCAAGACCCUGUCUCACAAUUUUAAAAAGGGCCGGGGAUGUGACUCAGCACAGAGAUUCUGGGUUCAAUCUUCAGUACCACAAAAGAAGAAAAAUCCUACUACCUUUCUCCAGGUGACACAUACCGUAAUAUCAGCUACUCAUGAGGACUGAG